AUUGAACGCUGGCGGCAGGCCUAACACAUGCAAGUCGAACGAGUGGCGGAAGGGUGAGUAAUGUCUGGGAAACUGCCUGAUGGAGGGGGAUAACUACUGGAAACGGUAGCUAAUACCGCAUACCAUCAGAUGUGCCCAGAGGGGAUUAGGUAGUUGGUGGGGUAACGGCUCACCAAGGCGACGAACCCUAGCUGGUCUGAGAGGAUGACCAGCCACACCGGGACUGGGACAGGGCCCAGACUCCUACGGGAGGCAGCAGUGUUGAAUAUUGCACAAUGGGCGCAAGCCUCAUGCAGCCAUGCCGCGUGUAUGAAGAAGGCCUGCGGGUUGUAAAGUACUUUCAGCGGUGAGGCGUUACCCGCAGAAGAAGCACCGGCUAACUCCGUGCCAGCAGCCGCGGUAAUUC
rnacentral:rRNA from 1 species